ACAUUUUAAUUUACUAACAUCACUUAAGAGGAUGGGUACGUAGUUUCUGUUCCAAUGCUAUUUAAAUGUGAUUCAUUUUUUUUUCCAAUUCUGAGAAAACUAAUAAGUAUUUUUGAAAAAUUUACACGCAGAAUGAAAGAUUACGUUAUUAGCGAGGGCCGAAAGUCCCUGAGAACUUCUUUAAUGUUUAUUUUAAUAAGCUACAGAAGUGAAAAACUAAGAAAAUUUAGUGUGAUUUUUAAUUUCAAAUAUCUCAUUCAAAUUUUAUUUAUUCUAAGGGACUUUUGGCGCUCGGUAAUAAUUUAGUCUUUCAUUCUGCGUUUAAAUUUUUCAAAAAUAUUUAUUGGUUUUUUCAGGAUUCGAAAAAAAUGAACACAAUGCCGUGGUAAUAUUUUCCAAAUCUAUCUUUGCCAUACAACGCACUCAGUCGAAUAGAAUAUUGUCAACAUAUUGUCAGUCAGACAGUGACAUUUUUAAAUAUUUGACAUGGCAUCGGGAAUAUUUUUGAGUUGCUGAUUAAAUAAUAUUGAUAGUGUAUUUUUGAUAAAUAAUUGAUUUAAGACGUGAACUUAAUAAAACAUUAUUUAUUGUUUAUUAUUUAUGGAAGAUCCAAGCAGAGAAUACACAAGGAUAUAUUCAGUGAUCCAAGUAUUUUGUUGUUAAAGAUGUUCAAAAUUGUAAGCGUUUCAUAGUAAAAAUAUAUUAUUAAAAAAUCACUUUAUCACUUUUCCUCUUUUCUCGAUUGAGUAUUAGUUUUUGUUGUACAUAUAAAUUAUUACAAUCACUGAAUACAUAGUUGGUGAAUAAAUUAUCAUAUUAAUUAACUGAAUUAAUAAGUAAGGCAAUUAAUUAUACAAGUAACAGUUAUCCAAGAACAUUCAAAAGCCAUCUCUUUAAAGUUAAUGAUGACAUUGUCAAGUAAAGUUUACAUAUCGAUACCAGUGAGAAUUUUCCUACACGUAAUUUGCCGUGUAAAGACAGAAAAAGUAGGGAUAGCCGUAAAAUAUUUGCGAAUUAUAUACUAGUAAUAUACUAGAAAUACUAACAUCUCUUAUAUCGUGGGCAUACUGCAAAAACUGACCAAGUCAAAUAUCAUGGUUUCGAGAUAAUCGAUGUUGAAUACUCUGUAAUUGUUUGUUAAUUUUUUUUAACCAUUUUAAAAGUAUAUGUAUUUUUUCUUUCCAGGUAUUAAAUGGUUGAAGUUAGUGAUUCUAAAUAGCUCUAAAAAUCGCAAUAACCUUUUCGUUUUUCGAAAAAAAAAUUGACUUGGUCACUUUUUGAUGUAGAAAUUUGCUCAAAUUUAAAUCGUGGUCACAAAAAGAUGGUUAUUGGUCAAUAAUAAAACGCAAAGAAAAUACUUUAUUUAUUUAUUUAUUUACAGUGUAAGGCUGAAGUUUCAAAUAAAAACAUUUUUAAAUUGGAAAAUAAUAACAAAAAUGUAAAAGUUUCUCUACUAGAAUUAAUCUGAAUCCGAAUAGGAGAAGUUGAACUAAUCUGAAUCCGAAUCGGACGAUACUGAUGGCUCUGGAGCAACAUAUUUCCACUCUCUGAUGGUAUUUACUGGUACCCAAGGAUGGAAUUCAGAGGGAGUUGUUCCUGUCUUACACAAUUUUAGAAGAUCCUGCUUUUUUAGUUUAGAAAUAGGAAUUUCUUUGGAGUAUAAUAGUAGUUGAAUCUUUUAUAGGAUUUAUAACUCGUUUAGUAUGUCCAACUACAUUGAAUAUAAGAAACUCUGGAUCACUAUAGUUGUACUUAAAUAAUAUAUUGCGGUUUAUCUGCUUCAUAUCGUAUACACUUAAUUUUUAACCAAUUAACACGAUUUAAGUUUUCGUCAGUGGUUCUAUUUUUAAGAAUAUUAGCAGCUAGGGUAUUUACAUAUAUCAAGAAAAUCAUUAUACCUUAAUUCCUGUAGAUUAUAUGAAUCACUUUUUUUGCUUCGGCCCGUCUAAAAAUGUGUAACCAAUCAUGCAUAGUACUGGAACAUUAUUUUUAGCAUUUUUUAUGGCACUGUGCAUGUAAUCUACUUCCAUGUAAGAAUGCCCAGAUUAAAAAAAAAUAUGCUGCACAAUACUUAAAUUGAUGUUUUAUACGUUAAAAUUAAAGAUAUUAAUAUCUAUUUUUCCAACACGUCGCACCUUUAAUAAAAAAGCGAAAUAACUCAAAAUUCAUGGUUUUCGAGAUUUAAUCAUGAAGUGAAAUAACUAGACGAGAAGAACCUGUUCCGUUUAACAGCCAGGUUAAAAUGAUGAAAAUGAGAGAGAUAAAUGAUUUUCCCGCUCUUUUUUACUAACGCCUUUGUACAAAACGGUACUCGUAAAGUGGUGGAAUUCAGUUAUACUCCGGCUGUGUUUGGAGGUAAGUUAUCCGGUAUUUUCAAAGAAAGUGAUACAAUACGAAACAAUUCUGUGUUUUACUAACGAAGUGGCGUCUUCUAGUCUAGAGCACAAAAAUACUUGGAUUAGUAGCGAAAAAUUCCUCAUUGGAUAAUAAUUCCAUCAAUGAAAAACCCGUUAAUAAUAAAUGUGAAACUAGUAAGAAGUAAGUUUCAAUUUGUAUUACUUUAAUAUAUGUAUAAAUACACAUUUUUUUAUUAUAAA